UCAAAAGUAUCCGAAAGAAAAUUUACAUAUCAAUUAAGUGUCUAACGUGUGUCGCACCUUUUUUUUUAGGCCAGUUGGCCUAGUUAGAUUUUCCGUCAAGCCGUGUUAUUAUUUUUUUUUUGCGUUCGAGACUCCGCCAGUCAGUGGAGGUGGGAACUAUCAGCGUGUGUUUAUACUCUGUGUACACAACAGCUUGCCUUCUGAGCCAACCAAAAAGGCUUUGGGUGGUUUUGCCAGGCGGACAGGGGGGCAGACUCACCUUGCUGCGGUGGUGCUUGCGCUCUCUCUCCUCCUCCAGCUCGGCCGUCCGCUGGUCCAGGAGCCCCCGCACGGAUGCCAGCUCCGCCUCGCUCUCCUCCAGCCUCCUCUGCAGGACCUCCAGCUGCUCGAACGACUGCUCCAGGAUCCGGAUGCGGUCCCGCAGCAUCUUGUCCCCGCCUUCCGGCUGGACGCCCCUCAGCUGGUUCAGCAGCAUGAACACCUGCAGGACAGACCGGACCGAGACUUUCGACCAUAUCCAACAUAAAAUGAGCCAUGUCUUCGCCGGGGGUUGCCUGGUUAUAUAAGCUGCACAAGGAGGAACUCAUCCAACAUUGCGAAGAAAAUCAAUUAGAGGCUUCGGCGACGGACACCGUGGCGGUGCUUCGCGCGCGCCUCGCUCAGUUCGUGCGUGACUCGUGUGCAGCCAUUCCUGAGCCCCGGACACGGCAGUCCCCUCCUGACGUCCGCCACCUGGGCGCUGCGCAGCUCCAGGUCCUCCUCCAGCUGCCGCCGGUCCUCGCGCAGCGCCGCCGCCUCCUCGGGCGACAGAUCCCCGCCGUCCAACUGCUCCAGCUGCGCCCGCACCUGCCGGCACACCGGAGCUGCAGUGCCCGGGCUUCACCCGGCAGUGCCCAGGCUGAUAAUUAAGGGAACCAGCAGGGGAG